rnacentral:misc_RNA from 1 species
UGACUGAUUGAUUACUUACGAGUAAUUCAAUCAAAUUUAAAAGUUCUCAAUGUUUAUCUUUCAUUAGAUAAACACAACAAACACAUUCAAGUGUCUUGUAUUCGAAUCAAUGUUUACAUUGAUUCACAAUUGAGUCCGGCAAACAGUUAUCAAGAAUUAACCCUUCUUGAUGACAACCAAAAACCUUGGUUAGUUGCCAUACACUAAGACCCUUUCGGGUUG